CGGGACAGUUCAAUUAGUUGUUCAUCCAGGUCUGUGGGCCGGGACAAUUCAAGCAGUCGUGUACACAGGUCCCAGGCUGUGGAAGGUCUUUCACAUGAAAUGUCCAGUUAUAAUAGGGAUGUGCCAACCACAUUCCCCCUGUCAGAAGCGAAAUUCCAAAAAAUAGUGCUGACAAAGCUGGUGACUCUCACUGAUGAGGUCAAACAACUCCAGAGGAGCAUGCCUAAAUCUAGCAUUGAGAUCAUAAAGAUUAACACCUUGGAAGAGUUCGAGAGGGAGGAGGCUUCUCUUCUGG